UACAGAGGUCUCAACCGUUGUUCGGAUUCAUUGGGCGUAAAGGGUGCGUAGGCGGUCGCGCAAGUCGGAUGUGAAAAUCUCAGGGCUCAACCCUGAAACUGCAUUCGAUACUGCGUGGCUAGAGUGCUGGAGAGGAGACUGGAAUUUACGGUGUAGCAGUGAAAUGCGUAGAUAUCGUAAGGAAGACCAGUGGCGAAGGCGAGUCUCUGGACAGCAACUGACGCUGAGGCACGAAGGCCAGGGGAGCAAACGGG
rnacentral:rRNA from 1 species